UGAAACUUAACAAUAGAUUUAUGUUGUUGGAAAUGCCUCAAAGAGUAAACUUUGUAGUUCUCGCUUUACUCGUUGGAUUAUGCUGUUAAACCAACGAGGUUAAACUACAAAACAAUUGCCUAGUUUUCCAUGGGUAUUUCCUGAAGGGUGCUGGAUCUGGACUGUGUGCCUGUUGAUUUUUGACAAAUGGCUUGUAUUUUAAAGGCCUUAAAAUGUCUCCAUGCAGAAUUCAGAGGGAUGUCCAGUCCAUGUGAGGUGACCUUUGGAAACUCUUUUAUUACCAGGAAAGGAAGUUGAAGCAUUGAAUGCUGUCAAGACUCCUCAGAAGUAAAUCACUUCCUGGCACUUCCGUCUUCAGGCCUGUCAGAGCUCAAGACUGCAGUGAUUGUUGCACUAAAUUCUUGAACAGGUUGGAGGACACUAAUAAAAGUCUUGAUACCAAACAAAGGGAAAGAGUAUGAAAAUAUUUUGGGUGGACUUGGUGUCAAAAUGGCCGCUUGUAUUCCAGGCAAGU